UACGGAGGGAGCUAGCGUUGUUCGGAAUUACUGGGCGUAAAGCGCACGUAGGCGGUUUGUCGCGUCUGCCGUGAAAGUCCGGGGCUCAACUCCGGAUCUGCGGUGGGUACGGGCAGACUAGAGUGAUGUAGGGGAGACUGGAAUUCCUGGUGUAGCGGUGAAAUGCGCAGAUAUCAGGAGGAACACCCGUAGCGAAGGCGGCACUCUGGGCCGAUACUGACACUGAGGAGCGAAAGCGUGGGGAGCGAACAGG
rnacentral:rRNA from 1 species